rnacentral:rRNA from 1 species
AUUGAACGCUGGCGGCAGGCCUAACACAUGCAAGUCGAGCGGAUGAGUGGAGCUUGCUCCAUGAUUCAGCGGCGGACGGGUGAGUAAUGCCUAGGAAUCUGCCUGGUAGUGGGGGACAACGUUUCGAAAGGAACGCUAAUACCGCAUACGUCCUACGGGAGAAAGCAGGGGACCUUCGGGCCUUGCGCUAUCAGAUGAGCCUAGGUCGGAUUAGCUAGUAGGUGAGGUAAUGGCUCACCUAGGCGACGAUCCGUAACUGGUCUGAGAGGAUGAUCAGUCACACUGGAACUGAGACACGGUCCAGACUCCUACGGGAGGCAGCAGUGGGGAAUAUUGGACAAUGGGCGAAAGCCUGAUCCAGCCAUGCCGCGUGUGUGAAGAAGGUCUUCGGAUUGUAAAGCACUUUAAGUUGGGAGGAAGGGCAGUAAGUUAAUACCUUGCUGUUUUGACGUUACCAACAGAAUAAGCACCGGCUAACUUCGUGCCAGCAGCCGCGGUAAGAC